rnacentral:rRNA from 1 species
UGGGGAAUUUUGGGACAAUGGGGGAAACCCUGAUCCAGCCAUCCCGCGUGUGCGAUGAAGGCCUUCGGGUUGUAAAGCACUUUUGGCAGGAAAGAAACGUCGCGGGUUAAUACCCCGCGAAACUGACGGUACCUGCAGAAUAAGCACCGGCUAACUACGUGCCAGCAGCCGCGGUAAUACGUAGGGUGCAAGCGUUAAUCGGAAUUACUGGGCGUAAAGCGUGCGCAGGCGGUUCGGAAAGAAAAAUGUGAAAUCCCAGAGCUUAACUUUGGAACUGCAUUUUUAACUACCGGGCUAGAGUGUGUCAGAGGGAGGUGGAAUUCCGCGUGUAGCAGUGAAAUGCGUAGAUAUGCGGAGGAACACCGAUGGCGAAGGCAGCCUCCUGGGAUAACACUGACGCUCAUGCACGAAAGCGUGGGGAGCAAACAGGAUUAGAUACCCUGGUAGUCCACGCCCUAAACGAUGUCAACUAGCUGUUGGGGGCCUUCGGGCCUUGGUAGCGCAGCUAACGCGUGAAGUUGACCGCCUGGGGGAGUACGGUCGCAAGAUUAAAACUUAAAUGAAUUGACGGGGGUCAUAGCUGUUUCCCU